UAGUCACGAAUAUACCUAAUUGUU
rnacentral:siRNA from 1 species